UUAGACCUCAUUUAAGGUGACUGCCACUGGGGAAGGAUUUCUCUCUGGAGAUCCCUCCCUGGUGAAGCUUUCCCCUGUGGAUCUAGAACCUUCAGAUACAGAUACAAAGGAUAAUUUUGCCUUGCAGUCCCAUGGAACUCACGGCGUGUCUAAGAUGGUUGCUGAGGCUAGAGUCAAAGUUUUCCAAUCACCAGGUUGCAGAGCAGCCUAUGUCUCUAGAACUUUACUAAGACUUCUCCUAAAGUGACCUGUAACUAUUUCUGAGUAAGGAGGUUGCUGUUGUUUUAAGUUAAAGCAUGGAAUAGUUUAGUUCAAUGCUGCUGCUUUCUUUAGUACAGAAAAUGACAAGAACUGUGAAAAAAGCAGUGGGAAAAACAAAGGAGAGAGAAUGCUCAAAGCAAGAAAACAAACUAUGUAAAAUAAAGAUGAAGAAUUUGUGUUUCAGUGAAAUAUGUCUAUCUUUUUGUGAUGAAUGAAAUUGCUUAGAGGUACCACAAGAGCUAGAAAUGCAAGGAAAAAAUCUUCACACCAGGGCUACCUUCUUUGAAAAGCAGGAGGAAAAAAAAAAA